rnacentral:lncRNA from 1 species
GCCCGUUCGUUCUUUAUCCAUUAUUACGGAACCUAAGGACGAACUCGUGCUUAUCGCUCUUGGGGGUCUUCUAAAUUGAAGUUUUAGUAAUUCAGGGGUCUAUAAUUCACAUUCUUUUAGUUAUAGCGGCAAAUGUCGGAAUGAGAAGGACUUCUGCGGGACAGUUGUUGGCUGGGGUAAGGUAGAGCUGCUUUUGCUUAUUGAUUUAUCUCCUUCUUUAAUUACCUUUUCUCGCUCUCGUCUCUUAACAAAAUGGGAAUCCGUAGUGAAAGAUCCAUUUAUUUUGCGAUUGAUCUCUUCCUUUCUUGACUUGCCCACCCUCGACAACACAGGAACGGAUUUAUCGUCUAAAAGGGGGAUCCCACGGGGGGUACCUAUUUUCACAGAAGUUUUGUUUAAUUUCAAUCUCGAUUCCUUGGAUAGAGCCUUUGAAACCCACUUUCCUACUUUUAUUUAAAUACGCACGUUUUGGUUCUCAGAUCUUCAUUCCUGUAUUUAGGGGC